AGAAUCAGGCUGCACACGAGCGGAUCCAAAGGCCAAACCUCCGAUCUUGAAGUCGACACACCCAGAGAUUGCAGCAGUCUCCUAAUCUAUUGGCUUUCGGUUCGCUGGUAAUGUGAUGUUGUCUCUGUCUUGGCUUGAAGUAUCUCACUCGUAUGUAUUCAAUCUGAAAAGGGAGAGCUUGUGCGUGCUUUAGGAGGAGCUGUGGCAUCCACAUCUCUUCUUGGAGUUCCUCUUGGACAUAACUCCUCGUUUCUUCAAGGGCCGACCUUUGCACCUCCAAGGAUUAGAGAGGCUAUCUGGUGUGGGAGCACCAACUCAACAACUGAAGAAGGUAUCUAAUUAUCUCAAUUAGUAGCAAACUUUUGCUUCUCAAAACAUUCAGUUUCGAGAAGAUUGGCUGCCCUGCUC